CCUACGGGACGCAGCAGUGGGGAAUUUUGGACAAUGGGCGCAAGCCUGAUCCAGCAAUGCCGCGUGCAGGAUGAAGGCCUUCGGGUUGUAAACUGCUUUUGUACGGAACGAAAAGCCCUGGGUUAAUACCCUGGGGUCAUGACGGUACCGUAAGAAUAAGCACCGGCUAACUACGUGCCAGCAGCCGCGGUAAUACGUAGGGUGCGAGCGUUAAUCGGAAUUACUGGGCGUAAAGCGUGCGCAGGCGGUUUUGUAAGACAGAGGUGAAAUCCCCGGGCUCUGCCUGGGAACUGCCUUUGUGACUGCAGGGCUAGAGUAUGGCAGAGGGGGAUGGAAUUCCGCGUGUAGCAGUGAAAUGCGUAGAUAUGCGGAGGAACACCGAUGGCGAAGGCAAUCCCCUGGGCCUGUACUGACGCUCAUGCACGAAAGCGUGGGGAGCAAACAGGAUUAGAUACCCGAGUAGUC
rnacentral:rRNA from 1 species